GCCAGAGGAGCACAACGGCUCUUUUUCCUUCCCAAGAUCUUUGUCUCGGACUCGUUGGUUAAAGAGGAGUCUCUGAAUAUGAUCGACCUUGGUUCUGAAGAAUUUGGGUGUUCUCAUUACAGAAGGAGAUGCAAAAUUCAUCAUCCCUUUCUCUCUCUCUCCUACAACCCAGAUCAUCCGAAGAAUAAAGAAGAUUCAGGU